CGUGAUCUGUAAAAGAUUAACAACAAUCGAAUGAAGUAUAGAUAUAAAUGUUGACGAUUGAAAUGUAAGAAAAUCAGUCAUCGAAGUAAAGAUAAUAUAGCGUAGAAAAUAUAGAGUUGGAAUCAGGUCGACGAGAUCUAAUUGAUGGAUUAGACAGGGCUAACUUUCAAUUCGUAUUCCGUUCGCGUGCCUAUACCAGCACGUCCAAUUCGAUGUUAUUAAUUCGUAUGCUGAGGACGAGUUAACGAGUAAGGGCAAUUUAUUCUUCGUCGAUGAAUCACGUCGAAUAGUCGCAUACGUGCUUGUUUAUGUCGAAUUUGCAUCCUCGCACUUGAUUAUUAAUUUUUUUAAGUAACUUCAUGUAUAAUAUAUCGGCAUGCAACGAGCUAGUAAGCAGGGCAAACGAUCGACCGGAUAAGGCAAUGAUUGGCGUUGCAACGGAUCACCAUGAUAGUAGCUGACGUCGGGAAUAAAAUAUACGAAGCCAUGUCUUUUUUGUCAUCAUUACGUAUAUCUUACAACCGUCAACAUCUUGUUUUAAGAUAAAAAUACGCGAACGUUGGAUCGCAAGCAAGAAGAAACAUUCUUUUCCGGAUUUUUUUUCUACAUAGAAGAGAAGAGAAUUCGUUAGCGAGCACAUCGAGGAAUGUGCACGGCGUAUAAGUGAAAACCCAUGACGUGCGCACGCGCUUCUAUCGGCAACUAUAAUAAUUUUCUCAGCGUGAUUCACGAUUUAACUUGUUGACCGUUAAUAGUCGAAGGAAGUAAUAGAGAAUCGUUCUGAAUGUGAUGACGUUAACACGUCAAUGUUUUAUGUGCAACAUAUUAUUUUAAAUAUUACACACAAUAUGGUUCUAACAGGAAGAUAGAAUAAGAAUGAGAAGGAAUUUUGACACGUAUACCUGACCUUGAGCUAUCGAGAACGAGAGAGAGAGAAAGAGAGAAGAUGUCUGCAACGUCUUUGUCUCGGUGCUAAUGGAAAUUACAUACCUCAACGAUAUUUCCCUUGCAAAUACGAAGAUUAGUCGAUACUUGUCAAGGACGAGUACUGGAAAUCAUUCUCGCGAUUAUGAACAUUCCAUUUGGUAAAUUAUUCCAAAUCAUUCGGACAACGACACGAUCUUUAUUGUUACGUAUACGAUUGCGCUAUUAACCGUUUUGAUCUACAAUUGGAAUAAUGAAUUAAUAACGAAUAACGAUAGCUUGGCAAGGAAAUGAACGAUUUAAAAAAUGCCGCGCUUCGUUUUACCUUGGAGUAACUCGAACGAUAAGACUAAGUGACAGAACUGAAACGAAUCGUAUCUUGUUCUGUUUUUUCCGGAAAAGAUAAAAAGAAUGUUAAAGAAAGAAGUAAGCAGAAAAUGAACGUCCUCGGGGAAUACCUUCUUUUCACAUAUUCGGUAUUCGCAACGACCUCGUUCUAUAUACUUUUAAGGAAGUUUCAUUGGCGAGAGUGUCCUUUGGAUUAAUUUAUGCACGACUUUAAACAUACAUCGAUUCACGAGGAAAUACAUAACUACAACAACAAAAAUAGAAUGACAUGAACAUCUCCAUACCUUGUAAUCAUUGUAAAAUCUCUAAGGAUCUUGUUAUUCCAAGAAAAAGAAUAAGAAAAUAGAAGGAAAGACAGAGUUCGUGAUUCGCACGAAAGAUUCUUCCCCGUGUCUGGGAGAGAAACGUUGACGGCAUAAAGAAUCGAUUCUUCGGAGUCCAGCGACCCUUUUGCUUCGUCUGCGAAUUGAAAACGUCGUUGACCAUUGAAUGCGUCUGGGAUGCAUCUGUAUAUGCAUUGUAUCAGUGUAUAUUGAUGAGAUGUACAGGGUGUCCCAUUCAACAUCCCAAAAUUAUUGAUGAACUAACAGUCUUUUCCUUUUUAUUAACAGGUAACGAUAUUCGAGUAAUGCAUUUCGUUACUAAUAAUCAUAAGGAAGAAAGAGAGAGAGAGAGAGAGAGAGAGAGAGAGUGAGCGAAAUAAUGAAGUUAAGAGAAGAUAAGAUAAGAAGAAGAAGAUAGUAUCGUAUGGAAUUUACAAGUCGUGUCCACUUCAAGGUUUCUCGAGAUCCUGAACGAAGUGGAGAUGAGCGUAGGUCGUCGCCGAAGAAACGAAAUAAAAAUUCCAUAAGUGUAUAGAGAAGGAGGUGAUGAGGGGGAAGUAAAGUAGGAGGAGUAGGCGCCGUUGGGUAAUCGACCGAUCGAGUUUGACCAGAGUUGAUCGUUGGACGACCUUGGAAAGUAUCGUCUCUCUCGCAGAAGGCAAUAAGAGACAUAGGGCACGACGCGCAUAAAUCGCAUGGGUCGGGUGUCUCCUCGCAGGUAUAAGAAUGCGGGUAACUGCAACGAAGCACGGAACCAGUUUUUAAAACGUGACUCACGAUUGUCCCGUAUCAUACGCGACACCCCGUAAAAAUAGCAUCGGGGAGAACCCGUUCUUAGGGCUUGUCACACGGUUCAGCUUGGUUCGACUUUCCUUUGCGCUUUCUAUAAACAAAAAUCUUUCACCGUGGUGAUUCUAGAAAGAAGGAAACGAGGAAACACGUUUGGUUUUUAUCAAAUUGUUAACUAUUUCUUCUUUAUACGUAAUUUGCUUGAUAAAUAAUACAUGUAAAUUCUUCUUUAUAGAUUCGUUUGAAAGGUGUAGAAAAUCUCGUUAGUUCCGAUCAUCGAUUUGACUCGAUCAAGUUGGAAAGUCUCUCGAAAGAAUCAAGCGGAAAAGGAAAGGAAAGCUUAUUUGCCUCGGUUAACGUGGCAACAUUAAAGUCAUUAUGGCAUACUAUGUCGUUGGUUAAACGAGUAAGAUACCAAGAGGACGUAGAUAUUGCAUAAACUUCUCUAUCGCAUCCGGAAGCACAAGCCGAGACGCAUCCUGUUCGUUGAAGUUCAUUCAAGAAUUUGUACAUUAUCGUCUGAAUUCAAGAGAAGAAAGUAUAUGUAUAUAUACGUGUAUGUGCGUGUCUACACAUUUAUAUAGACAAGUUUAUUUCUUCUACGAUAAAAAUAUUAACAAGAACAAAGGUAUUGCACCUUCAACGUCGUCAAUUCUUUUUUCCAAUUUCUAUGUGAAAUUCAAAUAAUCGAAAUGCAGCGAUUGGCACUUUUGUAGAACGAUUAACUAUAUAGAUAGAUGAUGGUUUGAAAUAAAAGAAAUUGAACGCGUUGGUGCAAUAGCUUCGCAUAAUUAUUGCGAGAAUAAUUAAGUCCCUGCGCCGGAAAGUAACGUCGUACAUACAUUCUGACCCGAUUCUCUUACAUUCUCCGAAGUACCAUUACACAAUUAGAGAUAACAACGGAUCGUGGGACCGACCGAAGUCGAAACGAUGCAGCCAGUUCCGAUCGUAAACGUCACUCCGAUAUUUCAUGAUCUCUCUCUCUCUCUCUCUCUCUUUCUCUCUCUUUCUCUUCUUAUCGUUACCUUUGUUCUUUAUUCUCUCUACGAAAGGCGAGGUUUAUCUACCAUCGAUCUAGAAUCAGGAUACUGUUAGUACUUUUUAAUGACGGGAAAAAAGUCGAAAAUUUAUAUAGUCGAAAUCAAUAUACCGUUUUCUUUUCUUUUUCUAUAACAAUAUUCGACAAAAACAUAUGCGUUAUCCUAACUACGUAUCUUUCACCGGUGUUUCCAACAACUUUUCCAAAUCAUAUAUCAAGUACACACAACGAACACAUGCACGUGUGUACGUAUGUACGUACGUAUAUAUAAAUGUAUCGGUCGGUGAUCAGUUUUCUUUUUCCAGCAUUUUCUAGUAUAAGAUUAAGUGUCCUUAGCAAGUGACACGUCACGAGCUCGCUCGACCCGUUUCGUGGAAUUUCGUUUAUAUUGCCAGAUGUCGCGAAGAGUUGUAAUUCACGACUUUAAAUGACAGAUAAUUGCUAUGUAUCUCUCUCAACGCUGUAAGAAACAAAUCUAAGAAAAGAAGUAAGAGGUUUCCUUGAAAUUUGUUCUUUCGAGAUACGUAAUUCUAAUAUUUCUUUUAUACUACAAGGAUAAUUAUUACGUCAGAACAAACAAGAAUCAGAACUCUGAUUGGUCAGUACAAACGAUGAUUUCUAUCGAUCGAUUCAAACGAUGAAUUUUCGCAAGACGAUUUGUUUAUUUUCUAAACAGUAUUUCUAAUUAUUCUAUCAUUGUGUAUUUCAAAACAUUGAAACGUAAAUAGAGAAAGAAAGAAAGAGAGAGAGAGAGACAGAGAAGGACGGUAAAAGGUUAUGUACAUAGCUCGAGGGGCUCAGUCCUGUAGCGUUCGUCACACGAGCCACUCAAGAAUCUUACGUCUGGCGCCAAGCCUGAUCAUGGAAAAUGGUAGGAGAGAAGAUGGAGAGAGGAAAAAACAAGAAAGAAGAAAUAAGCGACGUCGAAAAAAGAUAUGUAAUCUCUCUUCUACGUGUUCAGUUCUCGCAUAAGCCUCGACCAAGUAAAAGAGACGAAACGAAGGAUUGCGUGUAACCAGUAUAUACGUAUAUAAAACCUGUAUAUUCUUUUAUUUUUUCUAUUUAAGAGAUAUCCGUUUAAAAAGUCUCGCAAGUUUGAAGAAUCUGUUAGAAACGAUUCCGUUUAUGACGAUUGAACGAUCGAUAGAACGCGAAACGUAGUCGCUUUUUUUUUUUUUCUUUUUGAGACAAAACUCGUGUAAAUCCUUGUCUAUCCCUUUGUCUGUUAACACAUAUGUAUAUACGUAGGCUAUUAUUAGAACGAAACGCACGUGUCUCACGUUCAUUUUGUUAUAAAAGGCACGACGAACGCGUUGCAAUACGUUGACGUUGACGAACACGAUCGCUCCUGUGCAUACGAAGAGCCAUUUAAACGACAAUGCGACGAUGAAGUACAAUUGCGUUCUCGUUCAAGGGGGGAAACCGACAAGUACACCCUUCAUAAUAAUCAUUUUCGCUCUUUAAACUAAGCUCAAUGAUCUUUCGAGCUUACUCGAUAGGAUACUUUAAUAAAAUCGAACUAAAAUCUUUCUUUUCUUUUUUCUUUUCGUUUAGUCAUUCGAAACAUUGUUCUUUUUUUGAUCUAACAAACAUGUAACAUUAAUUUAAUAGUACAUCAUUUUGCCAUAAUUAUAUCUUUAGAUUUUGCGAUGUAAAUGUUUAAUGCAUAUACACUGUCGAAAUACUAACGGCAAAGGGAAGUAACGUUAUGUCCGCUUUCCCUUCCGCGAUACCGCUUUGGUAUGACCCCUGGAGAAAUCGCUCCGAUUUACAGUACUAAGGACGACUGUUCGCUCGAGUAGAAGAAGAGGAAGAAGAAACUUAUUAUUUUCUUUAUUUUAUUUCUUUUUCUUUAUCCGAUUUCUAUGUAACCGAUGACUUGCAUAUCAAUUCGUUCCGAUAUUAUUUUAUUAAUCUUUCAAGUAGGAAAAUGAAAUUACAUUUGGACAAGAAAAAGAUAUAGAAGUGAUAUUUAAAUGUUAAAACGUAUAAUUCUCCUCAUUGUUUAUACUCGUUGUCCUUUUUAAUUAAUCAACAAAGUCGUCAAGGUGAUUCCUAAGUACACACGAUACUCUCCGGUUUAUAUUAAACGUAUGUAUGUGUACGUGCGUGCAGGCAUAUAAUAAUAUUCGACCGAAUUAGCACGUUAGAAUUUUUGUCAUGGUUUUGAAAGUAAUGCGAAAGUAGCGAGAUAAUUAAUUAGUUUAAACGCGUGAACGAUAUACAAAACAUAGGUCGAACCUACAGAAGGGGGAUUCGGUUAGUCUCUCGAAAGUAUUCUUCAAAAGGCACGAUCGGUGACGGUGUCCUGAGCUCGUCGAUACGCCACAAGGAUUUUCAGGCCAGUGAACAGUAUAAUAACGCGAGCACGAAACCGUGUAGAUACGAAAAAAAAAAACAAAAAGAAAGGGAGAGAGAAAGAGAGAGAUAACUCGAGUAAUUUUCAAAAAAGAUUAAAUCAGGGAAAAGUGAUUAUUAACUUGUUAAUUUAUGAAGCGGAUCCAAAUAUGGAAUAUUUUUAUGUCGAACGAAUAUCUUAAGAAUACGUCUCCGUUUUCGUUGUUAAUCCCCUUUAAUACGUUUUUAAUUUUAAGAAUUAGAACGGGAAAAAACUCUGACGAGUCUAAUUGUAGGAUAUUAAUUGAUACAACGUCGUAUUACUAUCUCGAUUAGAACUUUCAGGAAGGAUAUUUGAUUUCAAGAAAUCUGCAUAUAUCUAACGUAAUCUUAUCAUUUUCAGUGAAACUUCUUGAAUUGGUAUUAAAUUUUAUAACAGUAUAUAGAUAAAAUUCCUUGAUUAAUUUAGAGGUCAUGUUAAUAGAAUUUUACUUAUCAAUGAAAUUUAUUUAACUGACGUUGCUUCGCUAAAAAAAGUAAUAUAUAUAUAUAUAAUUAUAAUAUAGAUCAGUCAGUAUUUUAUGUAUUCAAUUGUUAAUAUUUAAUUCGAACUUCGAAUUGAAUUUUUUACUCGUUAAAUAUAUUAACAGUUUUUGUCUUUGUAAACAUUUGAGAUAACUGAUACAGAAAGCAAAUUUAUUUUACGAAAUAAAGUCGUCUUUGUUGCUUCAAGUGAGCAUGACUUACUAAGCGAUUAUAUUCUUUACGUAAUGUGUACGAUUGUCGAGGAUACUUGCGCAAAUGCAAGGACGUAUUACACAUCUAUUUUAUACAAACGAAUAUUUUUUAAAAAGUUUGUUACAAAAACUGUAAACGUUUCUUUUUUUUUGCAUAAUCAGUUAUUAAAUUUCAUUGCCAUUCGUCGAUUAUUAUGAAUACUUUGUAUUGUUCGUUGUGUUGAAUACGUAGUAUUUUAUUGUUCGAUAUAUGUACGAUUCGAAAGGGAAAAAAUUUUCAAUGUAUGUACAAUAUUAAUAUUAUGUAUAUACAAUAUAUAAUAUGUUAUAUAUAUAUAAUAUAGAUAUCUUUACUAAUAUUGAAAUAUAAAAUUCAAGUAUCAAUUUCAUGAGAAAAAAAAAAAAAGAUCUAAAUCUCGGUAAUUUUCGUAAACAAAUUCCUCUAUCGAAGAAAGCGAUGAUUACAACGAUGAUAACCAAAUGUUUUUUCUUCGUUUCUAGCAGAACGAUUAUAAACAUUAUUGGAUGAAAUUCGAUCGAUCAUUCGUCGUAGUUAUAUUGCACUUAACCACGAUAUUGACCUACUCGUGAUGAGAGAUAAUUUCCAUUUUUUAUUUUUCCUCUCUUUCUCUUUCCAGAUACUGUACAAAGAACUAUCUAAGAAUGUUUCUCCAGACGUCUUGAAAAGACUUGAUAAUAACCAUAAGUAAAAUCUUUCUCGUGUUCGAUUAAUCAUCACGUCAUCAUUGUAAUAAGAUAUUUGAAUCAUCCACAUAAGAUUAUUCAAGGAAUAUAAAUUGUCAUGAUAAUUCUGACAUUAGCAUAUGAAAAUUAUCAUCGACAGGUUAAAAAAGAAAGACAAAAGAAGAAAAAAAAGAAACUUGCAGCUAAUCGUAAAAAAUAGAAACGGAAGGGCUUGUAUUAUUGGUCGACGAGCUUCCGGUGUGAAACCCUCUCUCUACGCAGAGACUAUUCUAAGCAUUUGCCUGGCCUCCUCCGUUACACCUACGCACGUAUUCUAUAAGCGAUAGUACUAGGAAAUAGUCGACGUAUACGUGUCCUUGGUAGAAACGAUAAGAAGAAAUCUUUGUUUACAAAUUAGAGUAAACAGUAUCGUCAUUGGAAGAAAUUCACCGUUCAUUUACGAAGAAGCGUGGCAUGUAUACAAACGUUAACGCGUAUUAGCUUGCGAGACGCAGAAGAGACACGAGAAGCAAUCGAGUAUAAUCGUUCGUAAACCGUUCCGUUCGCAUUAGGCAAGCUUAAUGACCGUAUAAAAGGGUGCCACGUGGGUGUUCGUUAUCUUCGCUGAGCUGCACCCUUUUCCUCUUCAAAAUUCGUCUCGCUCGUCUUUGUCGCAUACGUCUACUAUACUGGCUGGCCCCGUUUUAGUUUCGUCUUUUUGUGUCUUUCGUUUUAUGUUCCACAUGCACUACUACUAGUGUGCAUAUGGUAUAUACGUAUGCGUAUAUAUAAUGAUAUAGAUACAUGCGUUAUUUUAAGAACAGAAGCUCAUCUAAACGUUUCUUAAGAGUAUUAGAAACUUAACAGUUUAUUUCUAAGUCGACAUGCGUAGAUUAAACAUUUGGCUUAUUAUAAAAAUGAAGCGUUGAUCGGAAGAAUUUAUUUAAAAGAAGAAUGUAACAUUAUUUAAUUGCGUUAUAACUAUAAUUUCGAACUGUACUUUUAUCUAAGAAAAUUGAAAGCCUUCGAGCGAUUUUUAUAUAUCUAUACAAUGGAUAUGCGUAUAUAUGCGUAUGAAUGUAACAGGUGUAGAGUAUAUAUGUAAGCACGUAAUACAAUAGCUAUAGAUUACACAGGACGGUAGACGUUUACGCAUGAAGCAGAAGCCAGACACGCGAGUAAAACUUGAAGGUGUGUGUCGUGUUUACGAUUUACAUUGAGAUAAAAAGAUAUCGGGUGAACGUUUGUAUCUACGAAAGGGUUAACCCUUUAUCUGUAACAAUAUAGAUUUAUUACAUACAUUAUACAAUCAUUUUUGCGGACCAUGCAACUAGGUUUUUUAUCUUUCCUUUUUUUUAAUUUUUUUUUUCGAUGACGUAGUCGCAUAAUAUAUCGCAUUAAAUAACUGAAAACGAUCGAAACGUCUGUAAUUAUUUUUAACUCGACGAUAUGGCCAAUAAUUUGCUUCUUUCGGAACAAUGUAACUAAUAAUUUGUACAUACGUAUUUGUACACCACACAUGUGUACAUGCAGAUAAAACAAAAGAUACGUGUCGUCGAAUCAAACGUAUUGCGUUUAGUUAUCUUCUUUUUUUCUUUUUCUUUUUUUUUUUUUUUCUCCGAGGGAAACAUAAAAGCGAGUAGUUAUAUAAAGAAAGAAGUGAAAUUAUUUUUCGAGAAAUGUAGAUCUUGAAACACUUCCAAGAACAUCAACGUGUACAGUUCGUAAAUUUUGUGAUUAUUUUAGAAAUUCGUCGAAAAAAGAAUUUUCCUUUAAAUCGAGCGAGUUUAAUUUUAAUUUUAACUUCGCACUGAUAAUCUGGAUACGUAGCAUGUAACAUACAAACGUAUAGGCGUGUAUACACAUAAGUAUUAGAAACGUACGCAAAACGUUUGGAACGUAGGUUGACGAGUGGCCACUCGUUGAACUCUUUCACUCGCUCACUUGGAAGCUCUCUAACAGUCUCGAAUCAUAAUGAUCGCGUUGACGGCAGAAAAAGCACUCGAACUCGACGCUUCUCUCACCAUUUCGAAGAUCGUAGUCAAGAAGAAGAA